AACUUCUAUAGCCGCUGCUGCUGUCGCUGUUGCUGCUGACUAUAAGAAUGAGUUUGUAGGUUGGCUGUGUUUAGUGUGUGAGUUGUUCUAACUAGUUGAAGUAGUCUGUUCCUGGACCAUCAUCUCAUCCGCGGCAGACCAGAAUGAUGACCGGUCGCUUGACUGUCCAGGAGCGAGCUAAGAAGGGUGGAAUUCCAUUGUUUUGGUUCAGAGAUGGUGGCGUGCAUAGAAAGAUAAGCAUGCAACGCUACGUCCGGAGACAAUAAAAAGUUUUCAUGCAAAGCUGGUGAGCACGGGCUCUGUGAACGAUGCAAG